GCAUGUUGGAGCUGCCUGCCUGGGGUUCUGAGGAGGGACGAGCCCGCGGCUACUCGGGCCCGCUGCGCUGGUUCCGCGCUGGGGAUGGCGGGGAACGCUCCGGCCGUGCCCCAUCGCAGCUCGUUCCUGAGGCGGGGAAGGGCCGGGCCUGUGCCGGUAGGGACUCUGGGAGAGGGGCCGCCGGCCUGAUCCACUUAAGGGAUGCUCUUCCAUGAGGAUUUACUGCUGUGUUGGUUUCUUUCCUGCGUUGUGUUCUCAGGGGUUACACCUGGAUGAUCAUAAGGUCCCCUUUUAGUGUAGGGCUAGGUGACAGAUUUUAGCUUAAAACGUCCUUGUGAAAAAAGCAUAAAGUGGUCACCAGUACUUCUGGCUAAAACAAAUGUAGUCGGGGAAAUGUACAAGAGCUAAAGUGAUACUUGUGUUUACUAAAAGUUUCAUGGUUGGUUUGGUUUUGUUUUUUUUUUCACAGCCACCAUUUGGUGUAUUCUGUUGAAGCGAAAGCAAAGCUGCACACAAUACAUAAAUAAUACAAUACGGCUUGAGAUUGAUCAUGAAAACCUUUUGUGGAAGAGCCAAUCCAACCACUGGCUCGAUGGAGUGGCUGGAAGAGGGUGAGGACUAUGACUACCACCAGGAGAUUGCAAGGUCACGCUAUGCAGAUAUGCUUCAUGAUAAGGACAGAAAUGUGAAAUACUACCAAGGUAUUCGUGCUGCAGUGAGCAGAGUAAAGGAGAGAGGUGAGAAAGCAAUUGUGCUGGACAUAGGGACUGGCACAGGACUCCUGUCCAUGAUGGCAGCUUCAGCUGGGGCAGAUUUCUGCUAUGCCAUUGAGGUGUUCAAGCCCAUGGCUAAUGCUGCUGUGAAGAUAGUGGAGAAAAAUGGUUUUUCUGACAAGAUCAAAGUAAUCAACAAGCAUUCUACUGAAGUCACAGUUGGCCCAGAUGGAGAUAUGCAGUGUCGGGCAAACAUCCUGGUUACAGAAUUAUUUGAUACAGAGCUGAUUGGAGAAGGAGCUUUACCAACCUAUGAGCAUGCACACAGAUACCUUGUACAGGAAGGAUGUGAGGCAGUGCCUCACAGGGCAACAGUCUAUGUCCAGUUAGUGGAAUCCAGAAGAAUGUGGUCCUGGAAGAAACUCUUUCCUGUUCAUGUUGAAGCAGAGGAUGGUGAAAAAAUACUUGUUCCACCUUCAGAAAUGGAGAACUGUCCAGGUCUUCCUUCUGUUUGUGAUAUCCAACUGAACCAGAUGCCUUCAGGUGACUUCAGUACCCUUAGUGAUGUGGUGAAAAUGUUCAGUGUGGAUUUCAGUAAGCCAGUACAGAGUGCUUCUACCUGUUAUAGAGUGCAGCUGGAGCCUGUGAAAUCUGGCAAGGCACAAAUUGUACUUUCCUGGUGGGAUAUUGACAUGGACCCCUCUGGGAUGAUAAAUUGCUCAAUGGCUCCCUACUGGGUAAAACCCACUUCUGCUUUGCAGUGGAGGGAUCACUGGAUGCAGUGUGUUUAUUUUCUUCCACGUGAGGAGCCAGUUCUGCAGGGUGAGAAGCUGCACCUGACUGCCUGUCGUGAUGAGUACUCUGUGUGGUACAACCUGCAGAAAGCCAGAGAAGGGGAGAGCAGAGCAGAUGAAGAGCAGCACAAAGCAGAUGUCUGUGUGCAGAGUCCUGUCUGUAGGUGUCGUGCCCAUCUGCUGUGGAACAGGCCCCGCUUUGGGGAGCUGAACGAUCAGAGCCGGACACGCCAGUACAUCAAGUCCUUGAGGAAAGUUCUGAAAACAGAUAGCAUUUGCCUUUGUAUCAGUGAUGGCAGUCUGCUGCCUGUGCUGGCUCAUUAUCUUGGAGCAAAGCAGGUGUUUACCUUAGAAAACUCUGGUGUGUCCUGUUCUGUCAUGGAAAAAUUUUUUAAAGCAAAUAAUCUUGAAGAUAAAAUUAAAAUAAUAGAAGUGCGACCUGAGUUGCUGAAGCCUUCUCAUUUGGAAGAUAAAAAGAUUUCUGUCCUGGUGGGAGAGCCGUUUUUCACAACAAGUUUGUUGCCGUGGCAUAACCUGUAUUUCUGGUAUGCCAGGACAGCUGUGAGCUCUCACCUUGCCAGCAAUGUCACUGUCCUACCUCAGUCUGCUUCUUUGCACAUGAUGAUUGUGGAGUUCCAGGAUUUGUGGAGAAUCCGGAGUCCCUGUGGCAUCUGUGAAGGUUUUGAUGUCCGGACUAUGGAUGAUAUGAUUAAAGGAAUCCAAGGAAGCAGAACCUCACCCACUGUGGGAAUAUCCCUGCAAGUCACUCUCAGAGCCCCAGGAAGUUUUGACAUUUGACUUCACAAAGACUGUCCCAGAGCACUGUCUCAGCACAGAGGGCUCUGUAAAGCUCUUAAGGAAAGGCAAGAGCCACGGAGCAGUUCUGUGGAUGGAAUAUCAUCUUACUGCUGAUAUCUCUGUUAGUACAGGACUGAUGAAACUGUCCAAUGAAAAGGGAAACUGUGAAUGGAAUCCCCACUGCAAGCAAGCUGUUUAUUUCUUCAGCUCUGUUAUUGAAUCAGAAAUUCUGUCAGACCCUUCUGCUGUCGAAUAUGCUAUGAAUUUUGACACAAAGACAGGAGAGAUUGCCAUGGAUUUCAAGCUAUUAUAAAAUUCUUUCCUCCUGCUCAUAUUCCUAAAUUAUAAUAAAUAUACUGUAUUUCCUUUUUUUGUACAGCAGAAGUUUUCUUUCAUUGUGUUCACAGAGCAAACUUUUAUUUAACAUACUUCUAACCUUUUUGGUUUGUUUUCAAAAUACAGUUAGUGAGGUACAGAGGAACCAUUUCUUAGAGACAGGUAUUUUAGAGUCAGGGAUUAUAUACAUAUAUACACACAUGCUUUUCAUCAUCUCUUCCAGAGUUUUACAUAGUGCUAAGGAGGUACAGAACAGUUGUUUUGACAAUAGUAGCUGGUUAUUGCAGGGCAUAUCAUUGGAUGAGGACACCAGGCCUUACACUGACAUUAGAGAAAAGUGAAUUAAACACUUCUAUUUCUGGGCUGUGCUCUGUCACUGUAAAAUGGGAAAUAAUCUCCAGACUGCACAAACAGAAAUCCCAAGUCAAGCUAUAUAUGUAUAUUAGUACAUGUAAUAGGGAGAAGGAAACAGCUUAGCUGCUCUCAGACUUGUCUAAGUUCUGUUCUGCUGCAGCUGAUGAUCUGAGAUGCUGCAUUUCUGAAGAGUCCUGUGCCAAAAAGUGACCAGAAUCUGGAAAGCUGUGACUGGAAAUUAGAAAAUAUAUAUUCAGAUUAUUGGAAGUGACAAACCAAUGGUAGUUGACUAGAAACUGAAGAAAAAGAGUCAUGGGCAAAAAGCAAAUCUUUAUGAGAGAUGUAAUAUUCAGUAGAUGAUUAAAAAUGACUCAUUCCAUCAGAGGUGUAAAUAAAACCUGCCAGUUUGGCUGAGUUGUGAGGUCCCUGCAGUAGCACAUGUCCACUGCUGAGGUUUUCUUAGUUUUCUCCACAUCACAUUGGCUUCAGUGGCAUUGUGUGAAGUGAAUUCUGCUUUAGAUGAAGAAUCAAUUGAUAUCUGUUUUGUAUGUGUGACCUAUUAAAGUUUUGAUAGAAAA